UACGGGGGGGGCAAGCGUUGUUCGAAAUUACUGGGCGUAAAGGGCUCGUAGGUGGCCAACUAAGUCAGACGUGAAAUCCCCAGGCUCAACUUGGGAACUGCGUCUGAUACUGGAUGGCUUGAAUCCGGGAGAGGGAUGUGGAAUUCCAGGUGUAGCGGUGAAAUGCGUAGAUAUCUGGAGGAACACCGGUGGCGAAGGCGACAUCCUGGACCGGUAUUGACGCUGAGGCGCGAAAGCCAGGGGAGCAAACGGG
rnacentral:rRNA from 1 species